AUGAAAAAGGGGGGUUGGUACUGUCCUCCUAGGGGUUUUGUGAAACUUAAUGUUGACGCCUCUUUUGAUCAUGAUAUGUUGAAGGGUACGAUGGGGGCAGUUUUAAGAGACCACAAAGGUAGGUUCAUUGCAGGAGGAAAUGAAAAGAUCGACUAUUGUGCGGAUGUUUUGAUGGCUGAAACUUUAGCUCUCAAGUUUGGCCUAACAAUGGCGCAAAGGGCGGGGUGUAACCGCCUAAUCAUCAACUCAGACAACAUGGAGGUGGUUGAGACCAUGCAGGAAGGAGGACAAUCAACGGGGGCGGCAGCAGCAGUCUUCGAGGAUUGUUACCACUACGCCUGUGAUUUUGUCACGACUAGAUUCGAACAUUGUAAUAGAGAGGCAAAUAAAGUAGCUCAUGAACUUGCUAGAUUAGCUAGAUUUUCUUCGACUUCCGACUGGUUUGAGGAACCUCCAAAUGAAAUUGUAAUGAUCCUCACAAACGAUGUACUGGUUAUUUCAAAUGAAUAA
rnacentral:rRNA from 1 species